rnacentral:rRNA from 1 species
AGAGUUUGAUCCUGGCUCAGGACGAACGCUGGCGGCGUGCUUAACACAUGCAAGUCACGGGGGCCCGCAAGGGUAACCGGCGAACGGGUGCGUAACACGUGAGCAAUCUGCCGUCCACUGGGGGAUAGCCGGCCCAACGGCCGGGUAAUACCGCAUACGCUUGCCGGGUGGCAUCACCUGGCAAGGAAACCUCCGGGGGUGGACGAGGAGCUCGCGGCCUAUCAGCUAGUUGGUGGGGUCACGGCCCACCAAGGCGAUGACGGGUAGCUGGUCUGAGAGGAUGGCCAGCCACAUUGGGACUGAGAUACGGCCCAGACUCCUACGGGAGGCAGCAGUGGGGAAUAUUGCGCAAUGGCCGCAAGGCUGACGCAGCGACGCCGCGUGGGGGAUGAAGCAUUUCGGUGUGUAAACCCCUGUUGCCCGGGACGAACCUCCCCUUUCGAGGGGACUGACGGUACCGGGUGAGGAAGCACCGGCUAACUCCGUGCCAGCAGCCGCGGUAAUACGGAGGGUGCGAGCGUUGUCCGGAAUCACUGGGCGUAAAGGGCGCGUAGGCGGUGACUUAAGCGUGUGGUGAAAGCCCGGGGCUCAACCCCGGGUCGGCCGUGCGAACUGGGUCACUCGAGCACUGUAGAGGCAGGUGGAAUUCCGGGUGUAGCGGUGGAAUGCGUAGAGAUCCGGAAGAACACCAGUGGCGAAGGCGGCCUGCUGGGCAGUAGCUGACGCUGAGGCGCGACAGCGUGGGGAGCAAACAGGAUUAGAUACCCUGGUAGUCCACGCCGUAAACGAUGGGCACUAGG